rnacentral:miRNA from 2 species
UGCGUUCACUGCGGGCUUCCAUG